rnacentral:rRNA from 1 species
AUUGAACGCUAGCGGAAUGCUUUACACAUGCAAGUCGAACGGCAGCACGGACUUCGGUCUGGUGGCGAGUGGCGAACGGGUGAGUAAUGUACCGGAACGUGCCCAGUCGUGGGGGAUAACGUAGUGAAAAUUACGCUAAUACCGCAUACGAUCUAUGGAUGAAAGCGGGGGAUAGCAAGACCUCGCGCGAUUGGAGCGGCCGAUAUCAGAUUAGGUAGUUGGUGGGGUAAAGGAGCACCAAGCCAAAGAUCUGUAGCUGGUCUGAGAGGACGACCAGCCAGACUGGAACUGGGACACGGUCCAGACUCCUACGGGAGGCAGCAGUGGGGAAUGUUGGACAAUGGGCGAAAGCCUGAUCCAGCCAUUCCGCGUGCAGGAUGAAGGCCCUCGGGUUGUAAACUGCUUUUGUACAGAACGAAAAGGUUUCUACUAAUACUAGGAGCUCAUGACGGUACUGUAAGAAUAAGCACCGGCUAACUACGUGCCAGCCGCCGCCGUAA